CAAGUUUGACCUCAAAUCAGGUAGGAAUACCCGCUGAACUUAAGCAUAUCAAUAAGCGGAGGAAAAGAAACCAACAGGGAUUGCCUUAGUAGCGGCGAGUGAAGCGGCAAAAGCUCAAAUUUGAAAUCUGGCGCCUUCGGUGUCCGAGUUGUAAUUUGAAGAUUGUAACCUUGGGGUUGGCUCUUGUCUAUGUUUCUUGGAACAGGACGUCACAGAGGGUGAGAAUCCCGUGCGAUGAGAUGCCCAAUCCUAUGUAAGGUGCUUUCGAAGAGUCGAGUUGUUUGGGAAUGCAGCUCUAAGUGGGUGGUAAAUUCCA
rnacentral:rRNA from 1 species